rnacentral:lncRNA from 1 species
GAUUUAAAUUUACCUUUGAAUUUUUCGGCUGCCUGAUUUAAAGAAUUAUCUUCCAAUUUCUUAGCUACAUCUUCUUUUGUCCAUGCUUUAUAGCCUUCUCCAACAAAAAAAUCAGAAGAUGUCGUAGGCUGAGUUACCUCAUCUUUUCCAGAUUCGCUAAAUGAGACAUCAAAUCUUUUUCUCUUUGAAGCAGGAACUCCAUUGGAUUUUGAUUUUCGUUUUUUGCCCGUCAUAACAAUUUGCUGCGGUAAUGAGAAAUGAAGAUGUUUUACCUAUAUAUGCUCAUGCAUCAUAAGUACAGGUACAAGCACAGGCAGACACAAAU